rnacentral:rRNA from 1 species
UACGAAGGGGGCUAGCGUUGCUCGGAAUCACUGGGCGUAAAGGGCGCGUAGGCGGGUCUUUAAGUCAGGGGUGAAAUCCUGGAGCUCAACUCCAGAACUGCCUUUGAUACUGAGGAUCUUGAGGUCGGGAGAGGUGAGUGGAACUGCGAGUGUAGAGGUGAAAUUCGUAGAUAUUCGCAAGAACACCAGUGGCGAAGGCGGCUCACUGGCCCGAUACUGACGCUGAGGCACGAAAGCGUGGGGAGCAAACAGG